rnacentral:rRNA from 1 species
AUUGAACGCUGGCGGUAUGCUUUACACAUGCAAGUCGAACGGUAACAGGUCUUCGGAUGCUGACGAGUGGCGAACGGGUGAGUAAUGUAUCGGAACGUGCCUAGUAAUGGGGGAUAACCACUCGAAAGAGUGACUAAUACCGCAUAAUAUCUCAGGAUGAAAGCGGGGGACCGUAAGGCCUCGCGUUAUUAGAGCGGCCGAUAUCAGAUUAGGUAGUUGGUGGGAUAAAAGCCUACCAAGCCAACGAUCUGUAGCUGGUCUGAGAGGACGACCAGCCACACUGGGACUGAGACACGGCCCAGACUCCUACGGGAGGCAGCAGUGGGGAAUUUUGGACAAUGGGCGAAAGCCUGAUCCAGCAAUACCGCGUGCAGGACGAAGGCCUUCGGGUUGUAAACUGCUUUGUACGGAACGAAACGGUUCAGAUUAAUACUCUGAACUAAUGACGGUACCGUAAGAAUAAGACACCGGCUAACUACGUGCCAGCAGCCGCGGUAAAACGUCUA